rnacentral:lncRNA from 1 species
AUACCGACCCAUUCUUGUUAGCCGAUUCACCCACCCAAGGAUUGAUCUCCUGGCCAAGUUCUUACAGACAUCAUAUGCAAAAUGGUUGCAAUUCUUAUCUCAGUUUUGUUCAUCUCAAUGGAAGUAGCACUGAUCGAACUGAACCUCUAGAUGCCAAUUGACCAAGACACACUAUCUCCUUACCAUGAAUAAGACCAUCACGUGGAUGGCAUGCACAAGAUGAUGUAGGAGUAUGCCACAUACAACGGUGCAGAGGCUAACGAAGUUCUCCUCCUCCUCGUCCAGUGUGUGGAGCCUGUACCGCUCAAGCGGGUGAAGGAUCAGCUGGUAGCCGUCAGUGUACACCCAGUACAGCACGAUGGGCGAGAAGGUAACUGUGUAUACCCAGUAGAGAAUGAUCGCCAUCAUGACAUGAAUUUAGCACAAACAUAUUUCCCAAUCCCAUCAAAAGAUUUGCAAGAUCCGGGACCAAGCUACGGACCUCUAUGUAGCGUUCGAUGAACUGCCGCUCGAACAGGAGCCCUGACUUCGUCGACACCUCCGGCUCGUUCGGUACCUCACCCGAGAAUAGGGAUAAGCGACACGGGACGAGUUAGCUCAUGAAGCCACAGAUCAGCUAAUCUAGGGUUAGGAGACAGACAUGCGAGGGAGGGAAAGGGGCAUUACCUCUGUUGAGUCGAAUCCGACGGGAAUGCCCAUCAUAUUCAUCAUCUCCAGUUCCUCCGCAUUCACGUCGUCGUCACCCACC